CAUAUACUCCCUUUGUCCGAAAAUACUCGUCAUAAGAAUGGAUGUAUCUAGAUGUAUUUUAAUUUUAGAUACAUUCAUUUUUUAUUCAUUUGUGCGACAAGUAAUUCCGGACGAAGGGAGUAAUAU
rnacentral:pre_miRNA from 1 species